GAUGAACGCUGGCGGCGUGCCUAAUACAUGCAAGUCGAGCGAAUGGAUUAAGAGCUUGCUCUUAUGAAGUUAGCGGCGGACGGGUGAGUAACACGUGGGUAACCUGCCCAUAAGACUGGGAUAACUCCGGAAACCGGGGCUAAUACCGGAUAACAUUUUGAACCGCAUGGUUCGAAAUUGAAAGGCGGCUUCGGCUGUCACUUAUGGAUGGACCCGCGUCGCAUUAGCUAGUUGGUGAGGUAACGGCUCACCAAGGCAACGAUGCGUAGCCGACCGGAGAGGGUGAUCGGCCACACUGGGACUACGACACGGCCCAGACUCCUACGGGAGGCAGCAGUAGGGAAUCUUCCGCAAUGGACGAAAGUCUGACGGAGCAACGCCGCGUGAGUGAUGAGGGCUUUCGGGUCGUAAAACUCUGUUGUUAGGGAAGAACAAGUGCUAGUUGAAUAAGCUGGCACCUUGACGGUACCUAACCAGAAAGCCACGGCUAACUACGUGCCAGCCGCCGCCGUAA
rnacentral:rRNA from 1 species